rnacentral:rRNA from 1 species
ACGCUCGACACCUACGGGAGGCAGCAGUGAGGAAUAUUGGUCAAUGGGCGCAGGCCUGAACCAGCCAAGUAGCGUGAAGGAUGACUGCCCUAUGGGUUGUAAACUUCUUUUAUAUGGGAAUAAAGUUUUCCACGUGUGGAAUUUUGUAUGUACCAUAUGAAUAAGGAUCGGCUAACUCCGUGCGAGCAGCCGCGGUAAUCUGAGCGGGCUGGCAAGGC